UACGAAGGGGGCUAGCGUUGCUCGGAAUGACUGGGCGUAAAGGGCUCGUAGGCGGCCAACUAAGUCGGACGUGAAAUCCCUCAGCUUAACUGGGGAACUGCGUCCGAUACUGGAUGGCUUGGAUUCGGGAGAGGAAUGCGGAAUUCCAGGUGUAGCGGUGAAAUGCGUAGAUAUCUGGAGGAACACCGGUGGCGAAGGCGGCAUUCUGGACCGACAUUGACGCUGAGGAGCGAAAGCCAGGGGAGCAAACGGG
rnacentral:rRNA from 1 species